GCUGGAGAUGCUUUUCCUGCCACUUUGUCAGGGCAGGAGAUGGCAAAGCUGUGCUCUGCAAGGCGUCAAGGCUGAUGUUUGGGGAGGAGAGCUCAGGGAGAACACCUUCCCCACAGACUGCAGCAGAGCACUGAUAUUCUGGUCAAGCUCCUCCAAUUCCAGCAUGGAUGGCUCCUUGGUGGUCCCCAAAGAUGGCUGAUUCAAUCAGUCUACCAAGAAUAAACCAGGAGAGUAUUUCAUAAAGCACACAGCAAGAGUGCCACAAAGAACAUCAGAACUUUCUCAGUGGGAAACAAUGAUGUCCAAGCCCCUUUUUCACCUCUCUUGCUUAUCAGGAUCUUGGUCCCUCAGGCCUCAGGAGGGAUGGUGAAUGCUGGGCUUGGUGUCUGUGUCUCCUGGAGGGAAAAAUGGCUUGGCCAUGUCUGGCCCUUGCUCUGUGCUUGUCCCAGACCAGCUGAGGAGUCCUCAGCCAUCACUGAGGCCCCAGCUACAAACAGGAAUAAUUAAAAAACCCUAACGAGCUCUGAGCACCUCGAGCAUUGCCUUUUGUUGGCCACAGUAGUUGUGAGAGUGAUAAAGUGACAGCCCUGCCACAGUGCAUCAGCUUUUGCAGCCCCAGGUGCCGCUGUCAGCUGCCACAGCAGGAUGUGGUGGGAAGGGAGGAGGAGGAG